CCUACGGGAGGUAGCAGUGAGGAAUAUUGGUCAAUGGACGAGAGUCUGAACCAGCCAAGUAGCGUGAAGGAUGACUGCCCUAUGGGUUGUAAACUUCUUUUAUAUGGGAAUAAAAUGUUCCACGUGUGGGUUUUUGUAUGUACCAUAUGAAUAAGGAUCGGCUAACUCCGUGCCAGCAGCCGCGGUAAUACGGAGGAUCCGAGCGUUAUCCGGAUUUAUUGGGUUUAAAGGGAGCGUAGGUGGAUUGUUAAGUCAGUUGUGAAAGUUUGCGGCUCAACCGUAAAAUUGCAGUUGAAACUGGCAGUCUUGAGUACAGUAGAGGUGGGCGGAAUUCGUGGUGUAGCGGUGAAAUGCUUAGAUAUCACGAAGAACUCCGAUUGCGAAGGCAGCUCACUGGCCUGCAACUGACACUGAGGCUCGAAAGUGUGGGUAUCAAACAGGAUUAGAUACCCCUGUAGUC
rnacentral:rRNA from 1 species